GCCAGCAGCAUACCACCCUGCACCCCACUGCUGGCUUGCUUCUGAAGCUAAGCAGGGUUGGUCCUGGAUGGGAGACCAGAUGCUGCUGGAA
rnacentral:rRNA from 1 species